CAGUGUCUUCUGGGCCUGCUAGAGUUACAGUAUCCUUGUACGUACUAGUUGGCUGGUAAACAGGAGGUUGUGAUUAGCAAAACAAAAGCAACUGAGAACCACCUGUGUAAACAAAAGAAAGGAGUAAAGGCGAAAUCAACAUUUAAGUAAGAACCAAUAAUGAGCUUAGCUUUUGCAAUAUGUAUGAGCUAAUUAUAAAGUGUAUAUUAAGCUGUUGGCAAUGUUCAAUAA